CUAACGUACGUUCAAAUUUAUCGGGAGAACAUUUGAGUUUUGAGUCCCAUUUUUAUGCAAUUUGCAAUUAAAGUUUGUUUCUAGUAGAUUCCUGUCAGGUGGUAUUCACUUUUGGCCACUUCCUCAAGGCCUGAAUUUCACACCAGUUUUAGAGUGACGCUUGCUGCUGCUGUUCAAAGGAAGUCGACAUUGACCGGUGUUCCUGAGGCUCAGUUGCUGGUGUAGGAUCUCCA